CUGAAAGCAUCUAAGCGCGAAGCCGUCCCCAAGAUUAGGACUCAUUAAGCUCGGUUGAAGACUACAACCUUGAUAGGAUUCAGGUGUAAGCCCAGUAAUGGGUUAAGCCGAGAAUUACUAAUAGAGCGUUAUACCUCUUGGC
rnacentral:rRNA from 1 species